CACCUUUCUGGUUUCGUAUGCCAUAAAAUAUUCGGAAUUUUUUUGAAUUUUGUCACUCAGAAAUUUUUGGCAUACACCCCCACCCCUCCCCAACUAUACAUACUAGCUACGGCCCUGUUCAUAACUUAUAUAGUGAAGAAGCACAAAAAACUUUCUUCAGUAGAAGAGAUUGCGAAACUGUUCUGCUAAUUCUGUGUGCCUUAUUUUAAUGUUUGAAAUUAAUAAAAGGUUGCUUUAUUGCUUGUGUUUGAUUUUAAAUUAGGUUAUAAGUAGGCAAGUGCCAUUUCGUUUUUGUUUCUGCCCUUUUUUAAAAAAUAUGCCUUUCUGAUAGCAAAACGCACCCCUCGCCCUCAGCAAUUUCCGGCAUCCCUGAGUAUUUCUGUAUAGUUUUGGUCAGUUUUGCGGUUAAAUCCACAUAUUUUUUUCAGUUGUUUUUUUUUAAAUCCACAUUGAUUUUUUUGGCCUAACGACGACCUAACUCACGACCUAUAAUCUAAUAACAGAAAUUAAUAAACCUUAUGGAGUUAUGGGACGCGGCAAUGACAUGUUUGAACCGUAUUUUUUCCAUGCGGUAUUUACAAUUUUUUUUUGCGGUGAUGCGGUGUCCUCGAACGCAUUUGUACGGUGUUGCGGAACCCCCAAUGACCCCCCUGUAAAAUACAGAAAUUACAGAACGGAGCGGCAACAGCCGGCAAGGGCGAUCACGAG